rnacentral:rRNA from 1 species
UACGUAGGGUGCGAGCGUUGUCCGGAAUAUUGGGCGUAAAGAGCGUGUAGGCGGUCCGGUAAGUCAGCUGUGAAAGUCAAAGGGCUCAACCCUUGAAUGCCGGUUGAUACUGUCGGGCUAGAGUCCAGAAGAGGCGAGUGGAAUUCCCGGUGUAGCGGUGAAAUGCGCAGAUAUCGGGAGGAACACCAAUGGCGAAGGCAGCUCGCUGGGACGGUACUGACGCUGAGACGCGGAAAGCGUGGGGAAGCAAACAGGG